UACGAAGGGGGGCUAGCGUUGUUCGGAUUUACUGGGCGUAAAGCGCACGUAGGCGGAUUGUUAAGUCAGGGGUGAAAUCCUGGAGCUCAACUCCAGAACUGCCUUUGAUACUGGCAAUCUUGAGUCCGGAAGAGGUGAGUGGAACUCCUAGUGUAGAGGUGGAAUUCGUAGAUAUUAGGAAGAACACCAGUGGCGAAGGCGGCUCACUGGUCCGGUACUGACGCUGAGGUGCGAAAGCGUGGGGAGCAAACAGG
rnacentral:rRNA from 1 species